GACGAACGCUGGCGGUGUGCUUAACACAUGCAAGUCGAACGGUAAGGCCCUUUCGGGGGUACACGAGUGGCGAACGGGUGAGUAACACGUGAGUAACCUGCCCUCAUCUCUGGGAUAACAGUCGGAAACGGUUGCUAAUACUGGAUAUGAGCUUGCAAGGCAUCUUGUGGGUUGGAAAGAUUUUUUUUGGUUGGGGAUGGCCUCGCGGCCUAUCAGCUUGUUGGUGAGGUAGUGGCUCACCAAGGCUUCGACGGGUAGCCGGCCUGAGAGGGCGACCGGCCACAUUGGGACUGAGAUACGGCCCAAACUCCUACGGGAGGCAGCAGUGGGGAAUAUUGCACAAUGGACGGAAGUCUGAUGCAGCAACGCCGCGUGCGGGAUGACGGCCUUCGGGUUGUAAACCGCUUUCAAUUGUGACGAAGCUUUUUUGUGACGGUAGCAGUAGAAGAAGCACCGGCUAACUACGUG
rnacentral:rRNA from 1 species